rnacentral:rRNA from 1 species
UACGAAGGGACCUAGCGUAGUUCGGAAUUACUGGGCUUAAAGAGCUCGUAGGUGGUUAGAAAAGUUGGUGGUGAAAUCCCAAGGCUUAACCUUGGAACUGCCAUCAAAACUUUUUAACUAGAGUAUGAUAGAGGAAAGUGGAAUUUCUAGUGUAGAGGUGAAAUUCGUAGAUAUUAGAAAGAACACCGAUUGCGAAGGCAGCUUUCUGGAUCAUUACUGACACUGAGGAGCGAAAGCAUGGGUAGCGAAGAGG